UUCACAUUUCCUCUAAUUCUACUGGAAAGUCACCAGUGUGCACACAUGACAGUUACAUGAGUAUCUUGAACUGGAUAUGGUUUGAAUCCAAAAGAAGGCUAAAGUUCUUCAGUGAUCCGACAGCAGCUGAUCCCCGGGCCUGCCUUAUCAUCCAUCUGGCGGUCAGAGGAGGGCUUGAUGUGGAUCUUUGGCAGGGAGACUGAGUGAGGACUGGAGCUGGUACCGUUCCAUUCUGGCUGCUCGAGCUCAGCGCCCUGCUGCCGCCAUGGCUGCUGACAGGAGUUGCCACAGGAGGAAUGGCCAUGUUAAACGAGGCAACAGAAAUGACCCCUAAUGCAAAGUCACCUCCUGAAAAAGCCAACGCUGCACAUACCAUUCAGGAGGUGAUGGAUGUGGAGGGAGUACAUCUAGAAGAAGGAACAGCGGAGACAUCCCAGGGUGAGGACUCUGAGCUGAGCUUGAGUUUUCAGGGCUAUGUCGCCGAGCUGCGGCAGUGCCAGAGCAAAAUGAGAAACGCCCAGAUGCCCCAGAACGGCCGCAACCCACCGGAGGGCCAGGACUGCAACACAGAUCUUUACAAGGCCACCAUCGUCUAAAGGGACCCCCCCUCCGCAACACCCCCACUGCUGCACUUUUAAAGCCUGAGCGACUGUUGUUUGAGGAGAUGUAGUCGAACAAUGUGCUGCAUGUACAAGUUGUCAGUUUUCUUUACUAAAGCAUCAAUGUUACGGUGAUGGAUAUUGUAUAUUUGUUUAAAAAAAGUUCAGGCAUCUUCUUGUUGACUUCUAGUACCGGUUGUAAUUUUGGGACAGUGAUAUGUUUUGUUAUUGGUAUGCUUUGAUAAUUAAAUACAUUGAGCCCAAAUAAUAAUACCACAGAAGAAGCCUGAAACUCACUUUGGGGUACCAGUUGCUAAUAGUUGUACACAAUUUAUGUGAAAUGACUGAGAAAUAGGACACUGCUUGAUAAGAAGCUGCUUAACAACUUCCUAACAAAAAAACACUGGCAGCCUUCUGGUGUUGGAAACCAAAAAGUGAAAGCUCAGGAAAACACUUGUUCAGGUUCUUGAUAACAAUUUCGAAACCAUCACCAAAUGAUUUAAUGAGCUGUUAAGCUGUUUGGGUAUAUUGAGUUUUACAUUAAAGUCCCGAUUAACUGUCUACCCAUUACCUUUUUCUGCUAGUCUUGCGCUAAGAAAAGUUGUGAGAUGCAACUGAAAUAGCAAUGAUAAUUUAAAAAUCUAGAAAGUAAAGCUUGACUUUUGUUUUACGUGUCCUGAUUAGAAAGUAGGACCACAUGCUAGGAGAGGACUCUUGGAUAUUUGACUAUUUCUUGUUCAUAUUGUCUUCCUGUGUUGUACAGAUGACACAUAACAGUACCUCUAUUGUCUGUACUUUCUGCUUCUGUGGUUGUGAGGUUGUCCAAAUUGUUGAACAAUUAAAAGGCUUCGAUGGCUCUACUUUCAACCAACUGUGUCUUCGCUUUUUUGCUUUCAUC
ensembl:lncRNA